AUAUAACUCCAUGCCAGGUGAAAUGCACAUGAACUCCUUUAUUAAUGCCCUUUAAAAACUGAGUUGAGCACAGCUCAAAUUGCAAUAUUUUAUGCAUUAAAAAAAUAAACUAAUGCACGAUCUAUCCCCAUAUAACUUUUCAAUUAAUCUCUUUGUAUUGACAGAAUAAUUCAUUUUUGGUAUUUUUUCUUUUUUUUUUUUUUCUUAGCAGAACCUUUCAAUUCUAAGGAAAAGAAAUGGAAAUUCGUGAGUUCAAUGCAAGAUACUAAAUUUUACCCUCCUCCAGACUUUUGCACUUCCACUUAACUGCAGUUUUCUGGGUCAAUAGCCAAGUUGAAGACUGUCCGAUUGGCUGUAAUUCCCACAUAGCUGUGUGAAAAAAGACUUGACAUUUUUGUUAUAACCUGCUUCCAAAUAACAUUAAA
rnacentral:lncRNA from 1 species